GUUCUACUUUGGCAAGUAAAGGGUCCGGACUUGGCCUCAGAUUUUUCUUCUUUUCGCUAUCCCCUCCAACAUCCCAGCAAGCAUGCAGACUCCCAGCGAUCAGUGGGACUCUUUCGAUAGGAGAGUUGUAAGCUUGAAACGUAUUUUGGAAGAUCUGACCAAGUUAGUUGAUAACCUUGGAAAGGAAAUUUCAGAGAGAGUUUGAACGACGAGAGGAUAAAAUCAUGAAAAAUACUCUCCUAUUGGUCCAACUACUCCUAAGAAGCAUCCUGCAUCACGUCAACUGCUAAUGAAACUGGAUGAGAUAAAGGCAGAAAAGGAAGAUGGGGUCUUGGAUGCUGGCCCAUCUGCUCCUAGGAAGGUAAGUACAAUAUAUACAAAAAGACUAA